GACAGAGGGUGCAAACGUUGCUCGGAAUUACUGGGCGUAAAGCGCGUGUAGGUGGAUUGGUGUGUCAGAUGUGAAAGCCCUGGGCUCAACCCAGGAACUGCACCUGAAACUACCAGUCUUGAGUGGUGGAGAGGGAAGUGGAAUUCCUGGUGUAGAGGUGAAAUUCGUAGAUAUCAGGGAGGAACACCAGUGGCGAAGGCGGCUUCCUGGACACCAACUGACGCUGAGACGCGAAAGCGUGGGGAGCAAACAGG
rnacentral:rRNA from 1 species